UCAGGACGAACGCUGGCGGCGUGCCUAAUACAUGCAAGUCGAACGGUCUUUCUAUGGAAGCUUGCUUCCACUGAGAAGAUAGUGGCGAACGGGUGAGUAACACGUGGGUAACCUGCCCAUAAGAGGGGGGAUAACAUCCGGAAACGGGUGCUAAUACCGCAUAGUUUCUUGAUCGCAUGAUCGGGAAAGGAAAGACGGCCUUUGUGCUGUCGCUUAUGGAUGGACCCGCGGCGUAUUAGUUAGUUGGUGAGGUAACGGCUCACCAAGACGAUGAUACGUAGCCGACCUGAGAGGGUGAUCGGCCACAUUGGGACUGAGACACGGCCCAAACUCCUACGGGAGGCAGCAGUAGGGAAUCUUCCGCAAUGGACGAAAGUCUGACGGAGCAACGCCGCGUGAGUGAAGAAAGGGUUUUCGGAUCGUAAAACUCUGUUGUCAGAGAAGAACAAGUUGGAGAGUAACUGCUCCAGCCUUGACGGUAUCUGACCAGAAAGCCACGGCUAACUACGUGCCAGCAGCCGC
rnacentral:rRNA from 1 species